UCCGUUAUAGUUGUUUUUGCCAUUGUGACCGUGUUGAGUUGUCCAACUGAAGCUGGAUAUCAAAAUACAUUUGAAGCAACCAAAGGAUGUCUGAAGUACAACAGCCAUCAGGGAUAUAAAUUCACACAUCCUUACUUUUCAACUGGUGCAUACAGAAAUGUUCGAAGAGGUCCUAACAACGCCACUGAGUUCAGGUUUGGAGUACUUGGAGAUCACGACGGUAUUUUUAGAUUGGCCCCAGUGCAGAAUCCCUACGACAGCACUCUGAUGCAUGAGAUUGUUCUAUCUGGCUUGGCCGGUACCAAGACCGACGUACGUCGCUAUGUUCGAACGAGCCCUUCAGAAAUGAACAACU